CUGGUUCUGCGCUUAUAUUUGAUGGUAUAAAGUAGAGAAACAUUGCUUGGAGAUACACAUGCGCCAUUUUAAGCAGCUCCCCGCCCGUGCAGCACCGUGAGCAGCCUCCUCUGAAGAAGGAAAACAACACACUUUUGACGGUCACAUUUUGCCAUAUUUUUUAACGCCAUGGCUAAAGCGAAGUCAUCUGCCACCACCGAGAGACGAAUUUCCCCGCGUCUUGCAGCGAAACCCAAACCGCCUACCAUGGUGGCCACCAAGAAAGCGGCGGCCAAGAAGACGCCCAAAGAGAAGAAGAGCAAGGCGGCGGAGAACGGCAAGACCAAGACUGAGGAGCCAAAGGCCGAAGCCGCCGAAUCCAAAUGAGCCAACUUUGGCGUACGCCCCCCGCCCCCUCCCCGUGUACUUGGUGAUUGUACAGUUUGAAAUAAGUAUUUUUUACCAAGUUUUAUAUUACAAAUGUCAUUUAUAGGUUUGUCUCGCACUUGAUGUAACGAAUUAUGUGUUCUCACAUCCACAUCUAUUUUCACACCGCCGUCCGUUACUUGUAGUCAACCCAACCCCCCUUUGUAUUUCCCCUCUUAAUGCGUCUUUCAUUUUUUUCCAACUGCUGAAUAUUCGAUAUUUUUGCCACAUGUUGGAUUUUUAAGUCAAUUUUGUAACAUUAUGAGGCAGCUAAAGCAUUAUUUAAAGGAAGGAAAACCAAGGUCUCUGUUUUCAUGCUAAAGUACGAAAGUCUUUGGAACGCAACAAGAUCAUGGUCUGCUUUUUAUUUAAUGCCAGCAGAAGGAAAAAAAGAUCUUGCGAAAAAACCCAAAAAGCAUGUAUUUUGUGAACUCAAUCAUCCUAAUAAGCUAUGUUCAUGUUUCUGACUCCAGUGGUUCAUCUAAAUGUUACUGAAUAAACGUUUUUUCAAAGUCA